rnacentral:rRNA from 1 species
AAUGAACGCUGGCGGCGUGCUUAACACAUGCAAGUCGCACGAGAAAGCUUCAGCUUGCUGGAGCAAGUAAAGUGGCGCACGGGUGAGUAACGCGUGGGUAAUCUACCCUCGAAUUGGGGAUAACAUCGCGAAAGUGAUGCUAAUACCGAAUGAAAUCCUGAAAAUACAUGUUUUCGGGAUCAAAGAUGGCCUCUACAUGUAAGCUAUUGUUUGGGGAUGAGCUCGCGUACCAUUAGCUUGUUGGUAGGGCAAUGGCCUACCAAGGCUACGAUGGUUAGCUGGUCUGAGAGGAUGAUCAGCCACACUGGAACUGACACACGGUCCAG